AGUGAACGCUGGCGGUAGGCCUAACACAUGCAAGUCGAACGGCAGCACAGUAAGAGCUUGCUCUUACGGGUGGCGAGUGUCGGACGGGUGAGGAAUACAUCGGAAUCUACUUUUUCGUGGGGGAUAACGUAGGGAAACUUACGCUAAUACCGCAUACGACCUACGGGUGAAAGCAGGGGAUCUUCGGACCUUGCGCGAUUGAAUGAGCCGAUGUCGGAUUAGCUAGUUGGCGGGGUAAAGGCCCACCAAGGCGACGAUCCGUAGCUGGUCUGAGAGGAUGAUCAGCCAGACUGGAACUGAGACACGGUCCAGACUCCUACGGGAGGAAGCAGUGGGGAAUAUUAGACAAUGGGCGAAAGCCUGAUCCAGCCAUACCGCGUGGGUGAAGAAGGCCUUCGGGUUGUAGAGCCCUUUUGUUGGGAAAGAAAAGCAGCAGGUUAAUACCCCGCUGUUAUGACGGUACCCAAAGAAUAAGCACCGGCUAACUUCGUG
rnacentral:rRNA from 1 species